rnacentral:misc_RNA from 1 species
UUAAGUUCAGCGGGUAGUCCUACCUGAUUUGAGAUCAAACAUUCACAAAGCUGUCUCCACUGAGGAGAGACAUUUAUGAGCUCCAGUGGACCUCCAUUGCUGAAAGUCACCUGGUGGAAAACCACAAGCGUAGAUAGUUAUCACACCCGUGAUGCCCACCAAACACCGGCAAGCUGAUUCGUUUGAGAGGAGCUGACCAC